GACGAACGCUGGCGGCGCGCCUAACACAUGCAAGUCGAACGGAGCUGCGAGAAGCUUGCUUUUCUUAGCUUAGCGGCGAACGGGUGAGUAACGCGUGAGUAACCUGCCCUGGAGUGGGGGACAACAGUUGGAAACGACUGCUAAUACCGCAUAAGCCCACGAUCCGGCAUCGGAUUGAGGGAAAAGGAUUUAUUCGCUUCAGGAUGGACUCGCGUCCAAUUAGCUAGUUGGUGAGGUAACGGCCCACCAAGGCGACGAUUGGUAGCCGGACUGAGAGGUUGAACGGCCACAUUGGGACUGAGACACGGCCCAGACUCCUACGGGAGGCAGCAGUGGGGGAUAUUGCACAAUGGGGGAAACCCUGAUGCAGCGACGCCGCGUGGAGGAAGAAGGUUUUCGGAUUGUAAACUCCUGUCGUUAGGGACGAUAAUGACGGUACCUAACAAGAAAGCACCGGCUAACUACGUG
rnacentral:rRNA from 1 species